rnacentral:rRNA from 2 species
UUUAAUUGAAGAGUUUGAUCAUGGCUCAGAUUGAACGCUGGCGGCAGGCCUAACACAUGCAAGUCGGGCGGUAACAGGGAGAA